GUAGCCGCCGCCGGAGCUUCCGCCGCCGGAGCUUCCGCCUCCGUAGCCGCCGCCGGAACUACCACCGUGGCCGCCGCCGUAACCGCCGCCGGAGCUUCCUCCUCCGUAACCGCCGCCGGAGCUUCCUCCUCCGUAGCCUCCGCCGUAACUUCCGCCGCCGCGUCCACCGCCUCCGGAACUAAACGGGGUGAGGUCACAUUCGGUUAUCUCUAACGUUGGAAAACGAUGGAGCUAACACCCAUUAUGGAGAUUAACCACUUUUCAUCGGGUUUUUAACUCUUUGAGUCUUGAGGAAUACAACAGUGAACGCAAGGGCAAACAUUAUACUGUGGAGACACAAAAUGUUUUGAGACAACUGUGACCAGACAUGUCACGUGUGGAUAUACCGUUGGAUUUCAAAGCAACACGUUGUAACUUUUUUUGUUUUUUCCUUUUACAACAGAUUCAU